rnacentral:rRNA from 1 species
GUAAUUUCUAGCUCAUUAAUAGUGGGCCAAUGAAUGGAUUGACGGAUUUACAUUGUCUCAUUUUUAUUUGCUAAAAAUUAACUUAUAGGUGAAGAGGCCUACAUUUUAAAGAAAGACGAUAAGACCCUGUCAAACUUUAAUAGUCUCGUGUUGGCUUAUCUAGUUUGGGCACAACAGGUAUCUAUUUUAGUUGGGGCAACUGGGAGGGAAAAAUACCUUUUAAAUGUUUUUAACAUAAUUGUGUGUAGAUCCAAGUUUAUUGAAUAUAAAAUAAGUUACUGGAG